UACGGAGGGUGCGAGCGUUGUUCGGAAUCAUUGGGCGUAAAGGGUGCGUAGGCGGCUUUUUAAGUCUGACGUGAAAGCCCAGGGCUUAGCCUUGGAAGCGCGCUAGAAACUGGAAGGCUAGAGUGCCGGAGGGGAGAGUGGAAUUCCUGGUGUAGCGGUGAAAUGCGUAGAUAUCAGGAGGAAUACCGGUGGCGAAAGCGACUCUCUGGACGGUAACUGACGCUGAGGCACGAAAGCGUGGGGAGCAAACAGG
rnacentral:rRNA from 1 species